UGGGGAAUUUUGCACAAUGGGGGAAAGCCUGAUGCAGCGACGCCGCGUGAUUUAGAAGGCCUUCGGGUUGUAAAAAUCUUUUCUAUGGGAAGAAAAUGACAGUACCAUAGGAAUAAGGACCGGCUAAUUACGUGCCAGCAGCCGCGGUAAUACGUAAGGUCCGAGCGUUGUCCGGAAUCAUUGGGCGUAAAGGGUACGUAGGCGGGUAAGCAAGUUAGAAGUGAAAUCCUAUAGCUCAACUAUAGUAAGCUUUUAAAACUGCUCAUCUUGAGGUAUGGAAGGGAAAGUGGAAUUCCUAGUGUAGCGGUGAAAUGCGCAGAUAUUAGGAGGAAUACCGGUGGCGAAGGCGACUUUCUGGCCAGAACCUGACGCUGAGGUACGAAAGCGUGGGUAGCAAACAGG
rnacentral:rRNA from 1 species